CGGCUGGGUUCAAACCCAUGCAGGCGCCGAGCGUUCUUGUUUUUUGAGGGCGGAGCUGAUGGCGGGGAAGUGUUGUUAGCGCGCGCCUUCCGGAUCCCAGCGCUCCCGGCCGUACUCUUCGACUUAGGGGUGUUGCUUGGCCGCCGCCUGGUAGUCUGGCGGUUCAUUUCUUGCUCGGCCUCCUGGAGUUGUGCUCCGUGUGGGCUUCCACCUCAGACCCCUGCGCUGGCUCAGCGGGGCCGGAACAUGGCUGCGUCGGGUCUGGAUCAUCUCAAAAAUGGCUACAGAAGAAGAUUUUGUCGACCUUCCAGGGCACGUGACAUUAACACACAGCAAGGCCAGAAUGUUCUGGAAAUCUUACAAGACUGUUUUGAAGAACAAAGUCUUGCCAAUGAUUUUAGUACAAAUUCUACAAAAUCAGUGCUUUAUUCCACACACAAAAUAAAAGACACUUGUAUUCAGUCACGAAGCAAAGAGUGCCAGAAAUCACAUCCAAAGUCAGUUCCAGUUUCUUCAAGGAAGAAAGAAGCCUCUCUGCAGUUUGUUGUAGAACCAAGUGAAGCCACCAACAGAUCAGUUCAGGCCCAUGAAGUUCGUCAGAAAAUUCUGGCAACUGAUGUUAGUUCCAAAAAUACAUCUGGCUCGAAAAAGAUGUCAAGUAGAAACAUAAAUGAUUAUCACAGUGAUGCUGGUGAAGAAUUUUACUUAUCUGUUGGCUCACCUUCUGUUCUUUUGGAUGCAAAAACAUCUGUAUCGCAAAAUGUUAUUCCAUCUAGUGCCCAAAAGAGAGAGACUUACACUUUUGAAAAUUCAGUAAAUACGCUGCCUUCAAGUACAGAGGUUUCACUUAAAACCAAAAAAAGGUUAAACUUUGAAGAUAAAGUUAUGUUAAAAAAAAUAGAAAUAGAUAAUAAAGUAUCAGAUGAAGAGUAUAAAACAUCAGAAGGACAAGAAAGAAAACCAUCAGGAUCAUCUCAGAAUAUAACACGAGAUUCAGAAUAUGAAAUUCAACGAAAAGCUAAAAAAAGUUUUUCAACAUUGUUUUUAGAAACAGUAAAACGAAAAAGUAAAUCCAGUCCCGUUGUUAGGCAUGCGGCAACUGCUCCACCUCAUUCGUGUCCUCCCGAUGAUAAGAAGGUGAUAGAGGAUGAAUUUAUAAUUGAUGAGUCAGAUCAAAGUUUUGCCAGUAGAUCUUGGAUUACAAUACCAAGAAAGGCAGGGCCUCUGAAACAACGCCCAAUAUCUCCGGCUGAGAGCACUGCACUGCUUCAAAAUGGAAAGUCAAGAGAAAAGCAUCAUAAUAUAUUACCUAAGACUUUGGCAAAUGGCAAACAUUCUCAUGAACCUCACCCAGUAGAACCAUCUCAGUCCUCUGAUAAAACAGUACUGGAUACAAGUUAUGCUUUGACAGGUGAAACGGAAAAUGAUUGUAAAUCUGCAAAAUAUGAAAUGUGUUCCAAGGAUGCAGAAAAAUCAUCUGGAAGCAAAAGGACUAUAAAACAAAAACAGAGAAGAAAAUUUAAGGCUAAACCAGCUGAAGAACAGCUUGAUGUGGGACAGUCUAAAGAUGAAAACAUACGUAUGUCACAUACUACCCAAGACAAAUUUCAAAGAAAUUCAGACAGAAAUAUAGAAGAGCGUGAAGAGAUAGGAAAUGAUUGUGUUUCCAAAAAACAGAUGUCACCUGUGGGAAACAAGAAAAGUAGCGCUAGAAAAGAUAAGGGAGAAGCUAAAAAGAAGCACUUUUCCAAUGAGUCCAAGAACAAACUUGUGCCUGAAGAAGUGAUUUCAACUGUCACGAGAAGUCGAAGAAUUUCCAGACGUCCAUCUGAUUGGUGGGUGGUAAAAUCAGAGGAGAGUUCUGUUUAUAGCAAUUCUUCAAUAAGAAAUGAAUUACCAGUGCAUCGCAACAGUAGACAAAAAUCUGCUAAGAAAACAAAUCAGUCAUCUAAGAAUAUUGGAGAAAAAACGUUUCCACUUAAAAGGCAGAAGAUAGCAACUAAAGGCAACCAAAGAGUACAGAAGUUUUUAAAUGCUAAAGGUUCUGGAGGUACCGUUGGUCAUGAUGAAAUUUCCAGUUGUUUGCUGAGUGAGCCAUUGGAAAGUGAUGAGGAAGACUUGGCUAAAAAGAAAAAUCUUGAUUGUUCUAGAUCUACAAGAAGCUCAAAAAAGGAAGAUAAUGUUAUGACUGCACAGCAUGUUCCCCUAAAGCCUCAGACCAGUGGAUAUACAUAUAACACACCAACAGAAUCAAGCUUGGAUUCUGGAGAGCGUAAGACUUUAGUUUUAGAGGAAAGUGGACCUUCCAGGCUCAAUAGUAAUUAUUUAACGUCUGGAAAGAAUAAUAACGAUGUGGAUGAGGAGGAAGUUCAUGGAAGUUCAGAUGACUCAAAACGAUCUAAAGUGAUACCAAAGAACAGAAUCCAUCACAAACUAGUAUUGCCCUCCAACACACCAAAUGUUCGCAGGACCAAGAGAACACGUUUGAAACCUUUGGAGUACUGGCGAGGAGAGCGAAUAGAUUAUCAAGGAAGGCCAUCAGGAGGAUUCGUGAUUGGUGGGAUACUGUCUCCAGACACAAUGUCGUCUAAAAGGAAGGCAAAAGAAAAUAUUGGAAAAGUCGACAAAAAGUCUAAUAAGAAAAGGAUCUGUCUUGAUAAUGAUGAAAGAAGUAUGAACUUAUUUCUGAAAGUAACUUUUAGAUUUUAUUUUAAAUAGGAGUACUUUGAGAAGAAGCUGUUUGCAAAAUAUGAAAUUUACUUCCAAAAACUUCAGAAAUAAUACCAUAGAGACUAGCUUAAUGGUAAAUCUAGGUAUACCUCUUGGAGAUCCUUUGCAGCCAACGAGGGUAAAGGACCCAGAAACAAGAGAGAUUAUUCUCAUGGAUCUUGUAAGGCCACAAGAUACAUAUCAAUUUUUUGUUAAACAUGGUGAGUUGAAGGUAUAUAAGACAUUGGACACACCCUUUUUUUCUACUGGGAAAUUGAUAUUAGGACCACAAGAGGAAAAGGGAAAGCAGCAUGUUGGCCAAGAUAUAUUGGUUUUUUAUGUUAACUUUGGUGACCUUUUGUGUACUUUACACGAAACACCUUAUAUAAUAAGUACUGGGGAUUCGUUCUAUGUUCCUUCAGGUAACUAUUAUAACAUCAAAAAUCUCCUGAAUGAGGAAAGUGUUCUUCUUUUUACUCAGAUAAAAAGAUGAAAGAUCAACCAAGCUUAAAUAUGUGUGUAUAUAUGUAUAUGUGAAAAACAGUUUGUAUAGUUGGGACAUUUGUCUUUGUAAUUACUUGUGAUGUUUUAAAAUAAAAAUUUUAUUCAUUUUUGUGUAGACUUGUAUUUGAUAAACAUUUCUAACUCCCAUGUUUUUUCCGAUUUUUCAGUGACUAUACAUAAUAGCUUGUAGCGAUGCCCAUAUUUAUGAUAUUAUUUUUAUAAUUUGACAAGAAUACGAAAAUGAAAUAUAGAACAUUUCUGUGUCAAAAGAGACCGAUUAAUAUAUCUAUUCAUUAAAAAACACCUUUUCCAAAUAUGAAUUUUAAAUCAUUAAUUAUUAAAUAAUCCAAUGGGAGAAAACUGUGGUAAAUGGCAUAUUUGUGUUAAUUUCCUAAAACUGCUAUAACAAAAUACCACAAAAUGAGUGACUUAAAGCAACAGAAAUUUAUUAUCUCAGUUCUAGAGGCUAGAAGCCUGAAAUCAAGCUGUUAUCAGGGCUGUGAUGUGUUCGAAAACCUGUAAAGGAGAAUCCUUCCUUAUUCCUAACUUCUGGUGGUUUACUGGCAAUUUCUGGCAUUCCUUGACUUGCACUGGUAGGUAGCAUUUCAGUCUACUUGCAUUAUCACAUGGUAUUCUCACCUUCUGUGUCUGUGUUCGCAUGACAUCUCUUUAGUAUAUUACAUGUAAAUGUUUUUCCAUCAUGCUUUUUGGUUCAUAUUUUCGUUGGAGGCAGUGUCUUUUGCCAUUGCUUUCUGUAUGUGGCCUCAACUUUCCCUCAAUAAAUAAAUCUAAGCUAAAAAUUUUAUUCAAUAUUUUUGGUAUGGUUAGCAUGUAAUUAUCAUUAACUCUGGUUAAUUAGAAAAUUAGAAAAAUCAUAAAAACAAGUUUUUUUUGGUUUUUGGUGUGGUUUUUGGUAUGGUUAGCAUAUAAUUAUCAUUAACUCUGAAGAAAUUGAUGUUUCACAGUAAAUUAUUUUUAGGUCAACUCCCUUUUCAGGUCUUACAUAUUAAAUAGACACAUUCAAAGCAACUCUGGUGUAGGACUUAGGAAGAAUGAAGUGUGAUGGCUUUUUUUUUAUACUUUAUAAUUUUCUAUUGUGAUUUUUAUUGAAUCUUUUUUUUUUUUUACCUUUAUUUCUUUGAAUAUAUUUGUUAUGAAGUCUUAUUGAAGGCUUGACUAAUCAAGUAUCUGGGCUCAUACAGAUUUAGUUUUCACUGAAUGCUUUUUUUCCUUUAGUAUAUUUCACUUUCCUAUGUUUUUACAUGUCUAAUAAUUUUUGGUUGACAGCUGGACAUUUUAGGUAGCAUAUUGUAGCAACUCAAUUUUGUCUUAUAUCUAAGGGAUUUGUAUUUUAAAUUUAGCAUUUUGACUGGACUCAAACUGUGGAAUCUAUCUUAUAUAUGAUGUGAAGUUCUGGCUGUCUGUGCUCUGUUUUUAAAUUCUUUAUUUCAAUAUUUAUUCUUGCUUGCUAGGGGUAGUUCCUGUGUCUGCAUAGCUUAGAAGUCAGCCAAUCAUUUGGACAAAGGUUAAGAUCAAACACUUGAGUCUAUAAGCCUUCCAUCCACUGUUGGUUGUUCUGUGUGGGAUGGGGGCUGCAUUCAGUGUAGCAGGCAGUUCCCAAAUCCCCCUUGGUUUUUACAUUUGCCAUGCUCUCUUGAGUCUCCUCUGUGCAUGCAUCAUUUCAGUUUGCCAAAGAUGUUUGGAGAGGUCAUGUUACUCUUCUCUACCCUUCUGUUUCCAGGACCUUGUUAAAUUUCUGGCUGCUCUGUUGCUCUUCAAGAACUAGGACUGUAACCUUUGGUUAAUAACUAAAAAUAUUCCUUGUCCAUUCCUAAGUGAUUUUUUUACUUUUGACUUACAGAGUUGUAGGUUUAUACCUCUGCUGUAAAUCAAGACUCCUCUUACAGCAAAGUUGCUAGUUUUCAGUUAACUACAGCCAGACAAAACUGUAGUUUUUACUGAUCAACCUAGGGGUGGGUGAGACCUCACUCAAGAAGGCCACAGAUUCCAACAGUUCUUUUCCAAAGCUUUAGCAAUUUUUUUUUUCUUUCUUGUCUUGUUUUUUUCCUUCUUUCUUUAUUUUUUUUCUGGAGGCAGAGUUUCACUCUUGUUGCCCAGGCUGGAGUGCAAUGGCAUGAUCUCGGCUCACUGCAGCCUCCGCCUCCUGGGUUCAAGCAAUCCUCCUGCAUCAGUCUCCUGAGUAACUGGGAUUACAGGUGCUCGCCACCAUGCCCGGCUAAUUUUUGGAUUUUUAGUAGAGACGAAUUUUCACCAUGUUAGCCAGGCUGGUCUCAAAUUCCUGACCUCUGGGUGAUCCACCCACCUCGGCCUCCCAAAGUGUUGGGAUUACAGCUGUGAGCCACUGUGCCCAGCUUAAGUAUAUCCUUUCUGUGUCUAAACUGAAAGCCCAUAUGGUUCAGCAAAAGCUCUCCAGUCUGCUUGGUCAGAGCCACAUCUGAAUUUUGCCACCUCUGUACUCUGUUCAGCUCAUAGACUUCUGUCAUGUCUCAGAAUUUUGCUCUGCACAUUUGCAGCCUGCUGUUCAGCCAACUUCUAGGGCUAUAAUGGUUGAUACAGUAGUCACAAGUUGUAGCUAUUUAAAUUUAAAAUGUUGUUUCUUACUUGCAUUUGCCACAUUUCAAGUGCUUAGUAGCACAUGGUAGUGGUGACUACCACAUUAGAUGUCACAGAUAUAAUUAUUAUGCAAUUAACCCACAGAUAUAAGUUGCAGAAAGUUCUGUUGUUCUUGGGCACCUCAUGCAGAUUUCUGGAGCUCUUUUUCAGUUUCUACUUCUGUACCCUGCAUCACAAUUCAGUCUUCUCAAUAGUCCUAAAUUGUGAUCUUUCUCUGCUCAUUAAGACCACUGUUCUUUUUGAACGCAACUCUGUGUGUCCAGUUUUGCAGAGUGCCCCCAGGCAUAAAAUUGGGUGACUAUGGAGUUAAUCUCUUGUCUUGAAAGAAUCACAGUCCUGGUGGGGUGUGGUGGCUCACACCUGUAAUCCUAGCACUUUGGGAGACCGAGGCGGGUGGAUCACCUGAGGUCAGGAGUUCAAGACCAGCCUGGCCAACACGAUGAAACCCUAUGUCUACUAAAAUACAAACGUUAGCCGGGCAUGAUGGCAGGUGCCUGUAAUCCGAGCUACUCGGAAGCUGAGAUGGGAGAAUUGCUUAAACCUGGGAGAUGGUUGCAGUGAGCCAAAAUCACGCAUCUGCACUCCAGGCUGGGCAGCUGAGCAAGACACUGAUUCAAAAAAAAGAAAAAAAAGAAUUUCUGUCCAAUGUCUGCAUAGAAUUACCUUUUAUCUUUUUCUAUUUUAAAGUUUGUUGGAGGAGGACAAAUUCGACCCCCAUUAAUCCAUCGUGGGCAUCACCCACGAGAGAGGGUUUUUUUUAAUGAUUUUUCUAAUUUUUAUUGUUGGGUAGGAUUCCACAGUUUGUUGUCCAUUUACUUACCACAUGGAUGCAUGUGUCUUUAAUUUCUUCCAGUGGUUGCUUACAUCUAUGUAACUACAAUUCUGAAAAAGAAAUUGGCAAGGAUACAAUGCAUGUGUAUAGUUCUGUUUCAUUAUGUGUGAAUUUGUGUAACUACUGCAAUCAACAUAGAACUGUUUCAUCACUAAUUUGUUCUUCAUUUCUGUAAUAUUGUCACUUACAUAUUGUUGUAGCAAUGGAAUAAUAUAGUGUAUGACCUUUGGUUUUUCUCACUCAGCAUGAAGCCCUUAAGAUCAUCCAAGCAGUUGUACCUAACAAUAGCUCAUUUCUUUUUAUUGCUAAGUGAUAUUCUCUAGUAUGGAUAACUGUACCACAAAUAAAGAUGAAGUGAACACUUCC